rnacentral:tRNA from 1 species
AUUUAUAUAGUUUAAUUAAAACAUUACAUUUUCAAUGUAAAAAUAAAAUUCUAAAUUUUUAUAAAUA